CACACAGUUGUGUGCAUUAUGCCUGCUAUCACAGAAUAAUACGGUAACAGCAGGAGAUUACGGUACUAGCUGGGGCUACCGACUGUUACGUCAGCGAGAGCUGCAAAGUUCCUUGCCAUUCUUUGCUGAUGUCGGGGAGCUGAAUAUUAAAAGGGUGAAGGUGGAGUUAUUACUUGGCUGUAUUUUUUUUCUUUUUCCAUUUUCUCCUUUACUUUGAAAAUCUCCAGGUAAAGCGUCUGCGAGCUAGAAGCUUACAAAGGUCUGUGGUACAGAGGUGAGUCAGCGGGCGCAAAAGGAUUAGGAAUUGGUGCGUCGGAGAGACGGUCCUCUCUUCCCCGAGGAAGGAGGCGGCAGGGCUGCUGCUGGGACCGAAAACCGGUCCCCUCCCCGCCGCGCGCGGGCUGGCGGCUCUGCAUCCGCGCUCCAGGAGGACGCUGGCAAACACCGCUCCGCAGCCGCCCGGGUCUUGGCUAACAUUUCGCAUCCACGUCUCCCGGCCUGCGCGCCUAGAAGCUGGAUCUAGCAUGAGUCCAGCCACGCUGUGGGUAACUGCGGGCAGGGAGAAGUGCCCAGAUGCCAACGGUCCCCGCCUUUGAGAGUCGACGGCAGACCAGUACUUGCUUGUGGUUUGGGGGGAGACGGCGCUGGAGUUUUGAAUUCCAAGUUAUGCGCAAAAUGCCGAAUCUUCUAACCUGGACUAAUCAGACAGUGCAGAAAAGGGGACGCCUGUAAUUCUGGGAUUGCAUUUUGCAACACGUCUUUUCGAGCUUCUUGCCAAGUCUCGGGUAGGGAGGGAGCUGGGGCCCCGGGCCAGUGCAGCGGGUGGAGAGGGUCUGCGGGCAGCCCCGCGCGCCCCUGCCAUGUCGCCUUUAAAUGCCCUGCCCCUUUGCGUGUCCAUCCGAGGAUUUCCAGGGCUGGCAGUGGUUGCUUCCCACCUGCACGCUCUCUCUUACCCCUAGACAACCCCAGCAGGCAAGGCUCCCCCGAGCUGAGACCUUUUGACUCCCUGCUCCCUGGCUCCCGCCUCCGCCCCCGCCUGGGGGUGGCCCUCAAGAGCAGGACGUCGCCCGGCCCGGCUGGGACCAUGGUGUUUCUCUCUGGAAAUGUUUCCGACAGCUCCAACUGCACCCACCCGCCGCCACCGGUGAACAUUUCAAAGGCCAUUCUGCUCGGGGUGAUCUUGGGGAGCCUCAUCAUUUUCGGGGUACUGGGGAACAUCCUGGUGAUCCUUUCCGUGGCCUGCCACCGGCAUCUUCACUCGGUCACUCACUACUACAUCGUCAACCUGGCGGUGGCCGACCUUUUACUCACUUCCACGGUGCUGCCCUUCUCCGCUAUCUUCGAGAUCCUGGGCUACUGGGCCUUCGGCAGGGUCUUCUGCAAUAUCUGGGCGGCGGUGGACGUCCUGUGCUGCACUGCGUCCAUCCUGGGACUCUGCAUCAUCUCCAUCGACCGCUACAUCGGCGUGAGCUACCCGCUGCGCUACCCCACCAUCGUCACCCAGAAGAGAGGUCUCAUGGCUCUGCUCUGCGUCUGGGCGCUCUCCCUGGUCAUCUCCGUCGGGCCUCUGUUCGGCUGGAGGCAGCCGGCCCCCGAAGAUGAGACCAUCUGUCAGAUCACGGAAGAGCCGGGCUACGUGCUCUUCUCCGCGCUGGGCUCCUUCUACGUGCCGCUGGCCAUCAUCCUGGUCAUGUACUGCCGGGUCUACGUGGUGGCCAAGAGGGAGAGCCGGGGCCUCAAGUCCGGCCUGAAGACCGACAAGUCGGACUCGGAGCAGGUGACGCUCCGCAUCCAUCGGAAAAAUGCCCCCGCGGGAGGCAGCGGGGUGUCCAGCGCCAAGAACAAGACGCACUUCUCCGUGAGACUCCUCAAGUUCUCCCGGGAGAAGAAAGCGGCCAAAACCCUGGGCAUCGUGGUCGGCUGCUUCGUCCUCUGCUGGCUGCCUUUCUUCUUAGUGAUGCCCAUUGGGUCUUUCUUUCCCGAGUUCAGGCCCUCAGAAACAGUUUUUAAAAUAGCGUUUUGGCUCGGAUACCUAAACAGCUGCAUCAACCCCAUUAUAUACCCGUGCUCCAGUCAAGAGUUUAAAAAGGCCUUUCAGAACGUCUUGAGAAUCCAGUGUCUCCGCCGGAAGCAGUCUUCCAAGCACACGCUGGGCUAUACGCCGCACCCACCCAGCCACACGCUGGAGGGCCAGCACGAGGACCUGGUGCGCAUCCCAGUGGGAUCAGGAGAGACCUUCUAUAAGAUCUCCAAGACGGAUGGGGUCUGUGAAUGGAAAUUUUUCUCUUCCAUGCCCCGUGGAUCUGCCAGGAUUACAGUGUCCAAAGACCCAUCAGCCUGCAGCACUGCCCGGGUGAGAAGUAAAAGCUUUUUGCAGGUCUGUUGCUGUAAGGGGCCCUCGACCCCCAGCCACGGAGAGAAUCAGCAAAUUCCAACCAUUAAGAUCCACACCAUCUCCCUCAGUGAAAACGGGGAGGAAGUCUAGUGGACAGGAAAGGUCAGAAGGAAGGGGGGAUGAUCGCAGGCACCCAUCCACUUCCUACCAGGAAGGUCAGUUCGCUUUUCCUGGAUGACAAGACGUCACCAUUAAACCAGGGACCGUCUGGGAACGGGCUGAGAAGGAGACCCGACUCUGGGUAGCGGGUAGGGCUCAGGGAAGAGUGAGGAUGUCACACAGCCUCCCAGGUCACACUGAUGAUAAACAGCAUGUCCUUGAGGCAGAUCCUCUCUGGGUCAUCCUCUGAGCCCGCUUUCCACGCCUGGCCCUUUCAACGAAAAACAGCAUGGGAAACAGAAUUUUAUACACAAUCCAAAAGACUAUAAAUAUAGGGUUGUGAUUUCAUCCUGAAUAUUUUGAGCACGCACUCUAAGUUUGGAGCUAUUUCUUGGUGGAGUGAGGGGAUUUUAUUUUCAGGCUAAACUUGCAUGCAGCCACAUUGGAUAUUUACAGGGAGAGGGCCUGGAGAGGAAGAGCCUUAAGAUGGUGGCCGAUAUCCAGACACAUUAUUUUUAGAGCGAGUUUUAAAUGUCACCAUUUAUGAGACAUCCAGUUUCUCAGCUUGGGGGUGAAACUUGACCGUGAGAUUUACCUUUUGCUGCAAUUUGACCGGAUUCUGCUCCCGAUUGCCUAAGGACUAUUAACCAUGAAACUACCUGCACACAGCUCCGCCCGAGCCUGGUUGGAACACUGGUGGCACCUGCUCCUUGUCUACAAACUGUGCUGUGGAGCAGGCUGAGCCCAGGCUGCUGUGGGCUCUACCAUCUUCAAAAAGCACCGGGAGCCAUGGCCUCUGGCCCUCCAAAGUCCCUGCAAGACGAGUGAGUGGAGAUGACUGUUGUGGGGCUGGGCUGGCAAAAGCGAGCUAGGAUUUGAGCCGAGGAUACGCGACCUCUUGCCAGUGCUCCCAUCAGCUUUACCUCUUUCACGUGUCCCCGGACCCAAAUGUCUUGGGGGCUGAGGAUGGACCUUAUCUGCUCCGUAUAGGAAAAGAUCUCAUCUUUGCACCUGCAACACGGACUACUGAGUCUCUCACCUAAAGGCAAGGCCAUGGCAGGUGGGAGGAGGGUGUGGAGGAAGAAGGCUGACCAUGGACAUGGCUCAAAGCAGGAUGGCUUUCGGUAAUGUGUUGUUGCAUUUGAUAAACAAGGAACUGCCCUAAAGCUGAUGCUUUUUCAUUUCCAAAGACAAAAUAAUUGUCUUGACCUGUGGCUCAGGAGUUAACUCCGUUACCUUCCCUCCAUACCAUAGUCAAUGUUGCACGUAAUAGGCUAGAAACGAUUAUUGCUAAACUAUGAGAAAUACAGAUUUAAUUAGGAAAAAAAAUCUAAGAGCAAAUUCAUACUGUAUUUGGUGGGAAAAAAAUAAUGAAGGCACUGAUCUGUGAAAAAGCGUGAAUACAGUCGGUGCGUUCAGAUGUGACAGAAAAGAAUCUACAGAAAAUCACAACAUGAGUUCAGUAUUUUCUCCUAUUGAUACAAUUCUUCAUACUGGUCAGGGUUCUUUUGCUUGUCCCAAGGCAUUCCUGUGAGGGAGAAAGUGAAGAAAGGAAUUACUGUCUCUACUUAGCACAUGAAGAAACAAGGGGAAAGAUGAGGUGAGGGUUAAGGGUUUCUUUGAAUAUCCCCAAAUCCAGCCUCUGACUUCUUUUUCCAAGAUGCCUUCCAUUUCCCCAGCGUCCGCUGUGUUUCUUGAGACCCUGACAUUCGUGUUUCACUCACUCACCUCUGAGCCGUGCUUUCGGCUCCGUGUGCACCCUCUCUCCUGCUGCAUCUCUGCCCCCAGCUGGGCCAGUCAAGAUUGUUCAAGGGGCUGAGUGCAUAUCUGUCUGUGCUUCUCCCAGUGGCUAAAAGACCAGCAGUAGAGCUACGCAGAGAAGCAGGCCAGGGGGCUCUCGGCUUGCUCAACGGGGUGAUGGGUCAGGAAAAGCCAGCAGUGACUGACACCUUAAGGACUUCAGGAACGCCAGGGUCUCAGCGGGAGUUUGGGGAAUGUUUGUUUUCCAGUGAGCCUGAGGGUUGUGUACGCCCCAGUCAUCUCCCAUCAGCAAGCCGUUCCCUUCUUCUCCUGCACCAGGCACUGUACUUGGCAGAAAAAAAAAUACAGAAAGGCACAGACAGUCCCCAGCUUAUGAUCUGGGUGUGUUCCAAGCUCAUUGGUUGCAUUUUUUCCGAGAGGCAUUGUUAGAGAUGGGGGCAGGGAAGGAUGCUCUCAGAAGAACCAAAAAAUUAAAACUCCACAUAAUGGACACCAGGGGUUGGCAAACCUUUUCUGUAAAUGGCAUGUGGGCCACACAGUCUUGUCACAUAGUUUUCUAUGUUUAAUUUUUUUCUUUUUUUGUUUUUUUGGUUUUUUGUUUUGGACAACCCUCUAAAAGUGUAGAAACCAUUCUUAGUUCACAGGCUGUACCAAAAAACAGACCAUGGGCCAGAUUUAGCCCACGGGCCGUAAUUUGCCAUCCUCAAUGGCUGGCAUCACUAGUUUACAGUGUCGUACAAAUCCUGCUAGGCCGUAGGAUUUUUUUAAUUUUUAUAAUAUACCCUGACACAUCGACACUUGAUGACAUUAAUGUUCCCAAACUGGAUGAGUUGUUAGGGAGGGUGAGCAGUUCACAUUCAGGGCUGGCACUUGCUCCGUAUGACCUGCUCACCCAAAGGAUGUACUUUAGUCUGUCAUUGAUUUCCAGCCCGCCCUCCCACUGCCGGAUUCUGCAGGACAGCAGGUCAGCGGAAGCCCCGGGGAGUCCACACAGGUCUUUGCAGCCCUUCACCUCGUCGGCAAAGUGCCCAAGACAAUCUGUCAGCUCUGAGGGUAGCAAUAGCCAGUCAGAGCCAUUGGACCGAGGCCGGUAUGAAAUUCCUCCCAGACCCCUGGAGCCAGCUGAAGGGAGUUCCCUGGAGGCCACGCUUGGCUCCUUGGGAAGGUGUCCUGACCACAGCAUCCAGCACCAGGGCAUCUGAGGGUCCUCCCUGGGACUCACCCGCACGUGGGAUCCAGAGGAGGUGCUGGGUGGGAGGAUGGCUGCCUGGCAGGACCUCUUUCCCUCCUCCUCUGUCUCCUCCUCCUUUUCCUUCUCUUUCUUUUUAAGUCGGAAAUGACCUAACUAGCCUCAAAAUGGUGUUUCUAAGGGAAACAUAUUUGGCCUUCCCCUAGGAUGAUUUCUCUGAGCUGGCGCUUUGUGGGAGGGGCCUCCUGCCCUGGCCCCUCCCAGUCCUGACGGGGCGCUGGAGGGAGGAAGUGGUCCCAGUUGGAAACAAGGUGUGCAGUUCCCCUGGCCCAGGGCAGGGAGUGCCCAGCACUGAGAGAUGGCCGUAGAAUGGUGGUGGCAGCUGACCUGAUCGGGAAGGACCUGGGAGCAUCAUGGCCAGCGGACAGUGACACCACUGCUGCGGUGGACGCAGAGGAAAGGCUCGGCCCAACCCUGUGAGGCAGCUUCCCUUCCCUCCCCCUGGCCCUGUCUGUCUUCGUCCCUCCCUUCCUUCUUUCCAGUCUCCUCUCCACAGUCCUUCCCCUCUCUCCAUCAUUCCACCCUCCACUUCUUGCCAAACAUACAAGCAGUGAUGAUGUCGGGGCAGGUGCCCUCGCUCCAGAGGGUGCCGUUUCCCAUGGGAUACGUGCUCCCAACACAGUCCUGGGUCACCAGAUGGGGCUCCCCUCAGCUGCUCCAUCCCCUCCCACGCUGAGGACAGAGACGGCCCCCGGGGUGAGCGCACACGCGAGGCUCCCCAGGGACACUUACCCUCUGCCCGAUUGCCAUGUCUGUCUUCUUAUACUAUUAGUUCCAAAUGAAGGCUGCAAAUGCCACACGCAGUCACAUCUUAGAAAAGAGCUGUCGUCAGGAUGGCUUCUUUGCCCCUCCCUAGAUGUGCGUCUCUCCUUUCAGCAGCUGCCACCUCUCCCCUCUUACAGUUCAGAAGUCUUUACCAAGCCCUACAGAGUCCCCUUCCCUUUCUCUUCUUCAUCAUUUGUCCCUCCCUUUGAAUCUUGCCUAAGUACACCGGAGAGCCUCUGGUGUCUUGAUUAACCCUGUAAAGUGAACCGGGUUUCGUGUUAGCGUGACGCAGCGAUGAUUCGCCCAGAAGGGAUCCUGCAGGCAAAACUCAACUGGGUCCAAGGAGGGCCUUCUCUUCUGGAGCUCCCGUGCCCUGUCCCGCGCCCACCAGCCCCCCUGCGCCUGGACCUUGAUCGUGGACUCUUUCUAUUCCUUCAUCCUGUCCUUGCACCGGGAGCCUUUCUACUCCAAGCCAAGGAUCCUCUCCCACCAAACAUGCAUCUGCGUCUGCUGACACAGCUCCUAGCGUAUGUAGCCCGCCUGUCUUAGUCAGCUCAGGCUGUCAUUACAAACUACCACGCAGCGGGCGGCUUAAACAGCAGGCAGUUACUCUCCCAGAAUCUGGAGGCUGCAAGUCUGAGAUCAGGGUGUCGUCGGGGCUGGCUCCUCCUGAGGCCUCUCUGCUUGGCUUAUGGAUGGUCGUCUUCUCGCUGUGUCCUCACCUGGCCUUCCCUCUGCGUCUCCUCUUCUUACAGGGACACCAGUCCUGUUUGAUUAGGGCCCAAGCCAAUGACCUAAUUUAACUGCAGUUGCCUCUUUAAAGACCCUCACUCCAAGCACAGUCCCCUUCUGAGGUCCUAGGAGUUAGGAUUUCAAAUAUGAAAGUUAGGACAUGGGUGCACGAUUCAGCCCUUAACACUUCCCUCCCCACUGUCUUCAUUCCGCCCGUAAAAAUGCAUCCACGAUUCUUUUCCAAAUCCAGAAGUUCACAUUCAAGCCUUCUCGGUCACCCUCUCCAAGUUCUUACAGCAAUUGUCCAGAAAAUAUAUUUGGAUGCUUUGUUGUGCAUUUUAUUGUGAUCUUUCUGUUGCUUUUCAAAAUCUUUAUUUUUUCACUUUAAAACAUCCUUGACGCUCUAUGUAGGUUUCAUCUUCUCAACUAGAUGAAAACUCCUGGAAGGCAGGAACAAUCAUACCAUUUCAUAUGCCCACGGCAGUGCUCAGCCCCUGGGUGGUCCUAUCUGCAGCCUGGGAACCCUCCUAAGCAGGCAAGGAGGAAGGAGACAGAGAGCAGCAAAGGAUGACUAAUCCAAGCACUAGUUACCAGCAGGAGCUGGGGGACAGGUGCACAGAUCCCUGGGGACACCCGAUGACCCACCAGGAAGGUUCAGGUAAUAGUUGAUGGUGCUGGGAUUCUGAAAAGAUACCGUAAGAUUCUAAUCAGGGUGCAGAGCUCAGCAGUGGGGAGUCCCAGGCUGGUGACCAUCUCCAGGCCCGCGGGCAUGGGAUCCCUUUGGAACCAUCAAUGAAUGGGACACAUGCUAGACCCUGAGAGAAGAUGAGAUAGAUCAAGAGGCAAAGGCAGAGCCCAGCCCUGGGAGACGGGUCUCCGAGGCACCCAGGGGAGGCUGAGAUCACCACGGAGCCCCAGUGCCAGCCCUGGAUGAGCUACUUCUGUUUCAAUGACGUCUGCCCUCCAUCAGGAUGAGCUUGGAAAUGGGUGCCAACAAGCCUUCUGGUAGCUUUUCCUCUGCUUUGUCUCACAUUUGAAAAGGAAAGGAAAGGAAGGUACGCUGACUUGAUUGGGUAUGAGGUUGGAGACAACCGUUCCCUGCUGAAAGGCCUUUUAAUUCAGACUUUCCGAAGGCCCCCGCCCCGCAUUGCUGCUCAAGCCUUCAGUGACUGCAGGAUAAAAUCCUCGCUGCUGCUGCUCCGGCCUCUUGGGUCCUGCGGCCCUUUCUGUACGACCUUAGGGUACCUUGGCCUGGUCCUCUUGCUUCUCUUGAGAAAAUCUGAUCCCACUUCCGUUUCAUCAACUCACCCAAACCCCUUACUGUAGACAAACGUGUUACCUGCAUGGCGCUUCUCUGACGGCCGUGGAGUGAUGCCUUCUCUUCUGCCUGGUUUUUGCUGAGAAGCAAGAGCAUUUAUCCUCAUUUGGAAGAAUCAGGACUAUUCUAACUGCAAGGCAUCUACUGUCUAACUUUCUGGUCGAAGAACAACACUGCUUCAGCUACCCGUCCCCCCCACAGCCUCUCCCCCAGACUCUCCUGUUGGAAGUAUUUCUGGCCCAGCAAUGUCUGUCACAAGGGAACCCCGUUUUGCCUCAAGCUAUGUGGUUUGCCAGCUUCAGUCUAAUCUAGGAAUUGCAGGGAAAAAAAAAUCACAUGAAAAGGCUGGUCCUCCAAAAGUAUUAAGUGUAUUUAAGCCAAAAUCACCCCAAAACAGGUUUGAAUGAGUGCAGCAAUGGCUGAUUGAUGUACCCAGGGAAAAGAAACAACUUGUCUUUCUUCCCCACUCUGGUCCCCAGGCUUUCUGCUUAAAUCCAGCCUUAUCUUCAUAAUAAAAAGAUUUCAGCUCUGCGGCUUGGCUAAUUGAAGUCUCAAGGGUUGGAAGGCCCUUGAGCACAGUAAUCAAAAGUGGAGCACCAAUGUCAGUGUAUCUUGGUCCCCGCGCCCUCCCCACCCAGGCCCUGCGUCACAGCAGAGGUGACGGUCCUGGUGAAGAGCCAGGAAAGAGGCGGCAUUGAUGGACGAGUAGAUGCGUGAGCAGAUUUAAUCAAAAAGAAAGAUGCUCAGAUUCAACCUGCCAAGUCAGAAGGCUAUUAAAAAGUAACUGAUGGAGUAUCUUAAAGAGCAAAACAAGCAAGGAUUAUAAAUAUUUAAAUAACAAGUUAUUGUUCGUUUUCUAUGUACUUUCUUAAUGGAGUUAAACAUUUAUUAGGGAGCAAUUGAAUAAAAAAGUGUGGUCCCAUUUUCACUCUUGUCUCCAUUUCCAAAAGCUCCCCAACCCUCUGCCUUCCUAGUCUGAACAUCACACACCACCCUGAUACCUAACAUUCAGCACAUGAGAGCAACAGAAAUUUUGCUUCAGCUUUUUAAGAGCCUGAAUCAAAACACAUGCUUUCUUCAUCAGCUGUGCAGGGAGGAAAAUAGCUCUUUGUGUCUCUGGGGUAUCAUAAGCCAUAAGCAAUCCACUCUCCAGUCGUACCACACCUACUUAACCCAAUACUGCAGACAAGGGAGUGAGUUUGCUCCAUACAGCGCGCUGUGAUGAAGCACAUGAAGAGGAAGUUUAAAGAGUAAAAAUCACAUUAUUGGAGCAGCUACUACGUGUCCAGCCCUUUCCAUAUCUUUGAUUUGGUAAAAUAUGAAACUUUACAGUCGCCUUACCAAAGAAGUAUUUUCGCAGAGGACCAAUGCAGUGACGUGGAUGUGAGAAGAAGACGGUACAGGCACAAAGGAAGACUGGGGAAAUGUGAGCCUUCUGAAGUUCACCUGUGCUGGCCUUGCUGAACCCUUGGCCUGACCUUACCCCAGAGUCCGUCAUAGGAGGGGAACUUGUGAGAUUCUGUAAGCAGUGGCCUGGGAGCCACAAGUCCUGGGUUAAUUUCAAGCCCCAACUCUGUCCCUAAUGAGCGAGCCUGGACAAGUCAUGUGAGCUCUCUUGGUCCCAUCACCUCACCUGUGAAAUGGGUGAGCAAAUGAAAUGGUGGAGCUGAUAAAAUGUACGACAGCACAGUAAGCCCCCAGUUAAAGCUAGCCCUCUCCCCCUGUCUAUUUCCCCUCCCGAAGGCUAAAAGAAUAAAACAUUAUUACAAGUUAGAUCACCUUUACUGCAAGCUCCACAGGCAGAACAAGGCAGAACACAUCUUUCUGUUUUCCUUUGCCCUGAAUAGGCUGAUACUGCCUAGGAGCUGGUCACCACCAGUUCAAGACACUGAUUACUCUUUUCGCUAGAAUGGAAGUCACACAAGGAGGCUUCUCCCAUUGCCUGGGCGCUGUCAUUCCUAAAUUUACAGCGCUCGGCAAAAAACCCCCAAAGUUUCAGUUAUUUCUUCACACCCUCCCCCCCCCGACCUCACCCCUGUUUUCUUUGGGUUAGAAAUAUCCCAGCCAGAACAUUUUGUUUUAAUUUUUAAAAGUCACACCCACUGUACUACUUUGAGGCUUUCCAUCAAACUUUCAGAUUAGAGACAGCCCAAAACAAGAGGACCCAGUCCUGGUGUUUGUAAUCUUUCUCCCACUGACGACUUACUUGACAAGAGAAAGUCAUUAUCAUUGUUCUAUGAGAGACACUGUAUAGGAUGCGGUCAUUACAUAAAAGAUGGGUAUGUGUUGAUAUAUCCAAUGUUAUGAGAAAGAGAAGUAAUUUUGACCACUGGAAGACAGCAGAGCAUUCAAAGCAAAACUUGGGUUUAAAAUCAUCUCAGGAAAGAGAGUUGGGCACAGCUUGGCCCAGGAAACUGUCAGAAAUAAGUGUUUACAAAACAAAAUAGCCAAUUCCAGUCAUGAACUAUGGGCAGUUUUGACUUCAGCGGGGAUGAAAACCCACAUCAGGGGAACACAAGCUCGAAUUUCAAGUUCUGCCCGUGAGAGCCUCGGCAUUUCUGUGGACACUUUGAAUGAUCUCCAGGACACUUCUGGGCGAGUGGUUUGACAGGGAAGCCCACACCGCAAGCUCAGCUCAGCCGUACUCAAAAGGCUGAGUCUGGCAGGAGACCUGCCACCAUCUCCCUGCCAAACGGUCUCUCAUGACUCAGAAUCUCAAACUUGUUUUAAACAGAGGGGAAAAGUCUCUUUCCGAGAUGAGCUCCUUGGCCCAGCUCAGCUUUGUACAAACACAAUCUUUGUCUAUUUCGGUCUUGUGGGUUUGGAGAAGCAGCUGCUGAGUUGGGGUGAGGGCGAACGGAUUGGUGAUGGCCCAAAUUAAGGAGAAGAGUUUUCCGUUCUUUCCACGCUGGGAGAAGAGAAACACAGGGAGUAGAAUGUGAUGGGGCUGGUCCCAGGGAAAUGAGGGUGGGCCUUGACUUACAAAAAACCUGCCCGCCCAAGUCAGAACUUGUAAAAAUAAAUACACUGGGCUCAAAGUAAGAAUUCUGAGUCUACAGGAGGGUAAAACUUUGCCCAUGUUGAUGCGUAAUGUCUAGUAUAUUAAAAGUAUUCCUAGACUUCAUUAAAGGUCAUCUGCUUUGGGUUUUGAGGGGACAUACACCCGUUACAGGAAGCUAGCUUCAUGCCUGUGCGUGCUGGUCCUCACCGCCCACUGAAGGGGCGUCUCCGGCCCAGCCCCCUUUCCUGCCACCUACCGUCUCUUCCUUUUUCCAUUGAAAUAUAGUCAAUUUACGAUGCUGUGUUCUACCUACUGUCUUUUGAACCCACCUCAGAAGCGGAGAAGUCCUCCCUGCCAUGUGGAUUUCCUUCUUUAUCAAGCAUUUAUCUGCCUAAAGCGUGAAUCUAACACAUUACUCUUAUCAAUGCUGGGACAAUAGCGACUUAAGAAAUGAUUUUGAAUGUACAGAGAAAAAAGAAACAGGUGUGAGGGACGAGAGCUCAAUGCCUGAGGAGUCAACUUAGUGCAACGCCCCCUGUAGUGUGCUUAAAAGUUAAACGCUGAAGCUCCCUUUGUGUCCCUCAAAUUCUAGUGCAUCCGGAGAAGCAGAAGAAGCCACACUGAAAACAAAAUCACCUUCCUCCAAGGGAAGCUGACUCAUUUUUCCACCCUGUAGUAUCUAGUGAAGGCUCCAAGCACAGGUCCGGAGGGUGGAGAGAAAUGAUGGAGGACACGUGGUCCUGGCCCUCCCCCUCCCCCCCGCCCCCAGUGCCUGUGGUCUGUGGCAUCCAGGCAAGUCAAUUACAGUAGAGCGUGGUAAGCGCUCAGACACAAGCAUUCAUGGUACCACGGGAAUUUAGUGGAAAGCACCCAGUCCGGCCUCCAGUUAGACUUCUCAAGUGGGGUCCUGGAGGACAAAAUACGGUCGGGAGUAGAAGGAGCUGCUCCAAGCAAGGGAGGGGUGCACCCACGCAAAGACCCGGGGGCUGUGAACCUCAAUCAUCGGGUUCUCCUGGACUGCCUCCUCCUCCAGGGGCCCAGGACACAGGGAAGUCAGCCUCGCUUGUCAUGGUAGCCACUUGGUUCCACAAACCCCCAUCCCUCACGUCCUCAGCAGGCAAACCAUGCUGGCUUUUCUUCUCAUUUUUUAAGCCAAGGAAGAGCCAGUAAAUAAUGAGUGCAGGGGCUUUGUCAGCUCCCAUGUUUGGCUCUGCUAGAAAUCGAAAUGCCUUGGUCUCUCAGUCAUCCAAUUCUCUUUGGUCUCAAGACUUUAGUACAGCACUGCAGUGGGAUGGCCACACAGGAAAAAAAAUAAAAGUCUAUUUCUCAUUGUGCAAAUAAACAUUUGCUCAAACAUGAAGUAGGUAACCCAUUAGAAUAACUAAAUGCUUUGGGAGCCUUUACAAGCAAAUCUUACAUGAUGCAAUUGAAUGUUGUUAAAAAUGGAAGAUUUUUUUUUUAGCAAGAAAAUGUGCAAUAAUUUUUAAAGAAAGAGUUUUUUCCUACCAAAUAACACAGAACAUAAUUGGAUCAUUACAAUACCCCCAGAAGCUGGUUUUCCCUUUGUCCAUCAUUGAAAGGCUCAUAUCUUGUGCUGUAUCCAGACACAUUAUUACUGAAGGGUGCCUGGGAUUUUAUUACCAACCAAGGGCAGCAGGGGUGGGGAAUGGAGGCGGGUGGGGACUGAAACAAAAGUAAAGGUCUUGGAGCUGCACUUUUAUAACCUACUAGCAACGAGGAAGGACUUGACUUUCUGGGACGAAGGAAAAGAAAUCUGGAGGUCCACUUUGUUUAUGAAAUUAAAACUGUAUUUUAGUAAAUAAAGCUGAUGCCACUUAAACAUGAACCCCCAUGACAUCCCUGGCUUACUGCAGCUUUGCUGCUUGUCUGCUCAUGAGAUCUGUUCAAAAUACAAGCACAGCAUUCCCACAUUGCCAGAAAAGCAGAUAUGGGCUGAUUUUAGCUGCUAUGAUCUUCCUGUAACCCUUACCCUUGUUGUGGCAAAUAAGAUUCCCACGAGGUACGGUUUCUAACUCUGCAUUGUUCGUGAACCCCGCCUUCUCCAGGUUUUGGUAUUUGAUCAGCUGACUUGAUCUUUCCAACCUUUACCUCCAUGUAACAAAGCUCAUGUGGUCGUGCUGAGAGUUCGGUACAAUGCUCUAUCCUAUAAAAGGCAGAAUUCCCUCAGAUGUCAGAUAAAACGUUCGUGUGUGAAUUGUUAUACUUGAAUUUGCUGCAGCAUUUUGUAUGGAUGCAUAAACAAGACACCCAGGCUGACUGCAAUGGCUUCUAAAGCAUUUAAUUCCUUUUAAACGGACUUACUCUCCAUGGAAUGUGCUGUUCCUGAAUUUUCUACAUGUCAUUUUUACAGAUCCAUUUGUUUAUGAUGUGAUGUGGUAAACAAUCAUGUUGGUUAUUUUUUUAAGAACACAAAUAUAUAGAUUACUAAGCAGAUGAAUAAAUUAUUAAAAGAAUAUACUUUAUGAAUCAUGCAGCCCACUGGUAAAA